rnacentral:tRNA from 1 species
GCGGGAGUAGUUCAGUGGUAGAACACCACCUUGCCAAGGUGGGGGUCGCGAGUUCAAACCUCGUCUCCCGCU